UUCGGGGUCGUCCAACGGCAGGACACCGCCCUUUGAAGGCGGCGAUGCUGGUUCGAAUCCAGCCCCCGAAA
rnacentral:tRNA from 1 species